rnacentral:rRNA from 1 species
AGCGAACGCUGGCGGCAGGCCUAACACAUGCAAGUCGAACGAACUCUUCGGAGUUAGUGGCGGACGGGUGAGUAACACGUGGGAACGUGCCUUUUGGUUCGGAAUAACUCAGGGAAACUUGUGCUAAUACCGAAUGUGCCCUUCGGGGGAAAGAUUUAUCGCCAAUAGAGCGGCCCGCGUCUGAUUAGCUAGUUGGUGAGGUAACGGCUCACCAAGGCGACGAUCAGUAGCUGGUCUGAGAGGAUGACCAGCCACACUGGGACUGAGACACGGCCCAGACUCCUACGGGAGGCAGCAGUGGGGAAUCUUGCGCAAUGGGCGAAAGCCUGACGCAGCCAUGCCGCGUGAAUGAUGAAGGUCUUAGGAUUGUAAAAUUCUUUCACCGGGGACGAUAAUGACGGUACCCGGAGAAGAAGCCCCGGCUAACUUCGUG